rnacentral:lncRNA from 1 species
AUGGACCACUUUAUUAUCAACACUGACGACAUAGCUGACAUGCUGAGGACAAUAGACUUCCAAUCAGUCUCCCAGGGCGAAGACGCCGAGGAGGGCUAUGAAGCUGAAGAGGUGGUGGCAACAGAAGAUGAGGUGCCACAGCUGAACGCGGAGGGAGAGAGCAGCAGAUAUGACUCAGGUGGACUCCUUUCAGGUCAGGCUGCAGUCGCCAGAUGACAAAAGUAAAACAAGAACCCACUCUUAAACCAUGUCUGCAGCCGAAUGUUUCAUGGUCAUUUGUAAGCACACAUUAGUUGCUCCAGAUGUUUAAAAAACUAAAAAAUGAAAAAGAACAGCUUGACACUGAUUUUAAUGGUGAGCAAUGUAAUUUUCCAGAUUAUCGCCCUGCCAAUGACCUGCUUUGUUCCUCCUUUCCCAUUGCUUUGUGUGGAAUGUUUGAAACUACUAUUAUUAAUAUCGUCAUGUGAACAAUUUUACGCGACUCGUCACUUAUCAAGCCCAUGAGUACCGGCAAUAAAGAUGAAAAAAAUGUAUUAAAUUUCAUUAAUGAUUACAGGGAGUGCAUUUUAUUUUUCCUUUAACCUAACAAAACCUCACUGAGGUCAGUCCAUCUGCUUUUGCAUAAUUGUUCGGACUAUUCAGUUAACAUAAUAGCCACUCAGCUUUCUACUGACAGCUUGCUGUCCUCACUAAAAGCUUCUCCAUAUCUCACACUAUUUGCUGCUAUAUAUAGUUUUUGCUGACUUAAGAAAACUCAGCAGCAAUGACAUACGGCUUCAAAUCAGGUGUUCUUCAUUUCAUGUGCUGAAGAUGAAAUUUCCUUUUCCCCAGCAGACUAAUUCAAGGAAAAUGACCAUGACAUUUUAGCCUGGUUGUUAUCAGUUCUUUAUACCAUAUUCCUCCCAAGGUUUUCAGAAGGCAGGGAACUUUGCUAAUAACAUCACUUUGUCGCUGACUAAUGACAGGGAUCUAUACAUUUCAAAAGAAGGCUCAGGUCAUAGGGACUGAAAAAAAUGCUUCUUUUAAUGUUGGGUAAUAUUCAUCUUUCACAGAGGAGUCACUAAUAAAAAAUUAUUUCUACAGUUUGAUAUAUGACACCCAUAUGCAAAACAAUGAAAAGAUACUUGUGAGAAUCUGAAACCUAUAUUUUCUUCAUCUUGUGGAAUAACAUUUGGAAAUAAACAUACUUUCCUAAGCUCACAGCCACUGUAAUACUUAGUAUUGACGGACACAAUGUGCAAUAUUAAAAAACAAACAACAAAAUGUUUUGGCUUUAUGCAAAGCCAAAAUUUUAUAUAACACCUUUCUUUUUUUUCAGUCAAAAAAAGAUACUAAAAUCAACAUUUAUUUGUUUAACUCUGCCUAUCAAUAGCCUUGAUCAAACUAUUAGACAUUUGUAGUAGAUGCUGAGAAUUUACUAAGAAACUUUCAUUGGUCAACAUAAUUUCAAAAUAUUUGGUUUUAAACAAAGCUUAAUAUUAGAUAUACAGUUAGAAUUGAGAGGAGGUACAUCAAUGUCAGGUUAAGAUUAUAAACAGUUCUGGAUAUUAUUCACUCCAUAAUGUCUGAUAAUUUGGUUAUCAUAGUAAAUGAGAAUGUUCUCAAAUGAUUUAUCAGGAUAAAUAAUUAAAAAGUACCAUGACUGACUUUGAGAAGGGCUGUUUCAGUACUACAGUAUUUAGAAGUCUAAACUCAAACUGAAAACAUACAAAGUUUAUUGUAGGAUGAUUGUUUAAUUAUUACAAUGACCCAAAGUUUUUGUGAAGGUUUUCCUAAACUUUUGGUGAAGAUUUGACUUAGUUUAAGAACAUUUGAACAUUUGAGGUUUGAGGUAGAACAACAUAUAAGUACUUGGGUUUUCCUUUUCUAGGGUUAGAAUGUUUAGGCACUGGUGUAACAGUAAUUUGAAAUGCAGCAAAUAGUUAAGUAAUCGAAGACACAUUGAUCAUUUUUGUUCAAGAGGAGAGGAACUAGAUCUAAGCUAAGACAGGAUAUAUUUUAGAAUCCUAAAUGUGAAAAAAACAGUGCGUCUUAUAUGAGGUGUCUGAGGAUGCUAAACUUAGGUUGAGCCCAUUCUAGGAUAUUGCAUAUGUUACACUGAAGAUUCAAUAUUAAUGAAUGAACUGCAUAUGAAAUACUAAUAAUCCAGAUGAACAGCUGACUCUAGUUUGCAGACCCCCCCACACACACACAUUUCCCUCCCUCUUUUAACCCUUUUUUGUGCUAUUGACCAAAUCAAUUAUAAUGCUAUCUUAUAUUAAAAAUUCAACCACAUAUAUAUAUGAAGGAAAAGGUGGAGAUCAUGGUAGAUUUGAAUUUUCCUCACAUAUCGGGGAAAAAAAAUCACACAUCAGGAAAAAUCAUCAGGGAAAACUCCAUCUGAAACUGAAGUGGUUGUCCUGGCUCACACUAAGUUUUAUUCUUACUACGUUCUUAGUUCUUACUACUGUAUGUUAGAACACAUAUUAGAAGGAAUAAAUGUGUUGAUUAAGUUUUUUCAAAGAAUUUAAAGUAGAGGUGAGCCCUAAGGAAGCAUUAGAGAACUGUAGUUUGCCAUUUGGGGAUUAUGAUGUGAUGUAUAUUUUACAUUAUUUACAUUAUUAUAAAAGCUGACUAUGGGGGAUUGAAAGAGCUUAAGAGAAACAGGAUUUUAAAUCAAUAGAGAAUGAAAUAAAAUGCUUAGAAAUAGAUUAUUUCCAACGGGAAGGAAAACACUAGAAACAAAGUGGCCCAAGUGGUUUAAUAAGUCAAGAAAAAUGCACAGAUCAAGCACAUUAUAAAGGAUAAGAAAGGAAUAGUGUGAAAAAAUAGUUCAGAGCAUACCAAACACAACUAAAAAGGAAUAUUAGAAAGACGAGGAAAGAUCAUUUGCAAUAGAGGCUUGAAUAAGUGUUUAUAAUCUUAGAACAACAAAAGAACAGUAAGGGACUAAGUGUUAAAAGUUAAUAAUGGGAAAGCUUUAGACAAUGAAAGGGAAACGGCUGACAUAUUCAGUGAAGCUCACUCAGGUUUUCAACGAGGGAGAAUUUGGCAACAUGCCUCAUGCUGAGGAAAGAAAGUUCAAUGUUAAUAUUGUUUAAUAUAGAACAGGCAGAGGUGUUUAAGAUACUAGAAGCACUUAAGAUAAAUAUCCUGGCCUAAUGAUAUUCUACCAAUUAUACUUAAGGCAGCAUUAUAAAGUAAUGGUAAAAAAAACCCUUUCAAAUUUAAUUCGGGACAGGGGUAAAAGCUAUUAAGUAGAAAAUUGUUAAUCUAGC